AUUGAACGCUGGCGGCAGGCCUAACACAUGCAAGUCGAACGAGUGGCGGACGGGUGAGUAAUGUCUGGGAAACUGCCCGAUGGGGGGGGAUAACUACUGGAAACGGUAGCUAAUACCGCAUACCAUCGGAUGUGCCCAGAUGGUAUUAGCUAGUAGGUGGGGUAACGGCCCACCAAGGCGACGAUCCCUAGCUGGUCUGAGAGCAUGACCAGCCACACUGGAACUGAGACACGGUCCAGACUCCUACGGGCGGCAGCAGUGGGGAAUAUUGGACAAUGGGCGCAAUCCUGAUUCAGCCAUGCCGCGUGUAUGAGGAAGGCCUUCGGGUUGUAAAGAACUUUCAGCGAGGAGGCGUUACUCGCAGAAGAAGCACCGGCUAACUCCGUGCCAGCAGCCGCGGUAAUAC
rnacentral:rRNA from 1 species